UACAGAGGUGGCAAGCGUUGUUCGGAAUUACUGGGCGUAAAGGGCGCGUAGGCGGUCUUGUAAGUCUCGUGUGAAAUCCCUCGGCUUAACUGAGGAACUGCACGGGAUACUGCUUGACUUGAGUUCGGGGGAGGGAAGCGGAAUUCCGGGUGUAGCGGUGAAAUGCGUAGAUAUCCGGAGGAACACCGGUGGCGAAGGCGGCUUCCUGGACCGACACUGACGCUGAGGCGCGAAAGCUAGGGGAGCAAACGGG
rnacentral:rRNA from 1 species